rnacentral:rRNA from 1 species
CCUACGGGGGGCUGCAGUAGGGAAUUUUCGUCAAUGGGCGCAAGCCUAAACGAGCGAUGCCGCGUGAGUGAAGAAGGCCUUCGGGUCGUAAAGCUCUGUUUCGGGGGAAAAAAGGCAGCAUCAGGAAAUGGGUGCUGACUGAUGGUGCCCCGCCAGAAAGUCACGGCUAACUACGUGCCAGCAGCCGCGGUAAUACGUAGGUGGCGAGCGUUAUCCGGUAUGAUUGGGCGUAAAGGGUGCGCAGACGGUACUGCAAGUCUGGAGUGAAACGGAUGAGCUCAACUCAUGCAUGGCUUUGGAAACUGGAGGACUGGAGAGCAGGAGAGGGAGGUGGAACUCGAUGUGUAGCGGUGAAAUGCGUAGAUAUAUGGAAGAACACCAGUGGCGAAGGCGGCCGCCUGGCCUGUUGCUGACGCUGAGGCACGAAAGCGUGGGGAGCAAAUAGGAUUAGAUACCCCAGUAGUC